rnacentral:lncRNA from 1 species
CUUCCACUAGGCCCAGUCCCAGGCUCCAGCAGCAGCCAGCUCCACCAGGCCCAGGCUCCAGCAGCAGCCAGCUUCCACCAGGCCCAGGCUGCAGCAGCAGCCAGCAUCCACCAGGCCCAGGCCCAGGCUCCAGCAGCAGCCAGCUCCACCAGGCCCAGGCUCCAGCAGCAGCCAGCUUCCACCAGGGCCAGGCUCCAGCAGCAGCCAGCUUCCCCCAGGCCCAGGCUCCAGCAGCAGCCAGCUCCACCAGGCCCAGGCUCCAGCAGCAGCCAGCUUCCCAGCCAGGCCCAGGCUCCAGCAGCAGCCAGCUCCACCAGGCCCAGGCCCAGGCUCCAGCAGCAGUCAGCUCCACCAGGCCUAGGCCCAGGCUCCAGCAGCAGCCAGCUUCCACCAGGCACAGGCUCCAGCAGUAGCCAGUUCUCCACCAGACCAGGCUCAGGCCCAGGCCCAGGCCCAGGCCCAGGCUCCAGCAGCAGCCAGCUUCCACCAGGCCCAGGCUCCAGCAGCAGCCAGCUCUCCAUCAGGCCAGGCUCAGGCCCAGGCCCAGGCCCAGGAUACAGUAGCAGCCAGCUCUCCACCUGGCCAGGCCCAGGCCUAAGGCCCAGGCUCCAGCAGCAGCCAGCUCUCCACCUGGCCAGGCCCAGGCCUAAGGCCCAGGCUCCAGCAGCAGCCAGCUCUCCACCAGGCCAGGCUCAGGAGCAGCCAGCUUCCACCAGGCCAGGCCCACCAGCCAGUCUUCCAUCACCCUGCUACCAGCUGGCCCAGUGUUUCUAAUUUUUGCCGUCACCAACGCUGUCCCGGCGCCCAGGUCUCCCGCACCUCUGCUGCUCCUCGCCAGCCCAGCUCCCCGCCGAAGGACCCCAGCCAACGCAGCACCCCCGGCUCGUCUACUAGCCGCUGCCUCACCUACGCUUCCCCGAAUCUACAGACCCGCACCGGACCUCCGUGCGCCUACAAGCCUGCCCCGGCGCCGCGCUCUUCUGCGCGCCUCUCCCCGGGACUCAAGCCACCUCGCUCUUUCUGCUUCCUGACAUUUUUCUGAAUAAACCAAUUACUCUGCACCAGCCCCGGUUGUCUGUCCGCUUCUGGGUCCCCCUCUCGUCUCACAGUUAACACAAUUGACUAUAUUGUACAUAUUUAUAAUAGUAACUUACUGCAAAUUCACAUUUUCUUCAAACAUUUUUUACCAUGGAAGGUAAUUGUGCAGAAUAAAACAAGAA